GUUCUGAAGCAAUCAGACAUGUACAAUUUCCCUCUCAUGAACUCUCAGUACGUUCUAAAAAAUAUACGUCAUCAAAAAGAGGGAAGAAAGCAGGAAAUGAGAAGACACAGGAUCCAGAAACAGUCAACUUCUGAAUAGCUGGUAUGUCCUCAAUACUGGGAUGUUUCAAUCCUAAGGCUACAGAGAGUAAGAAAGAUAUGAAGUAUCUCCACAUGAACCUAAAUCUGGAAAAUGUCAUGAUCAUCUGUAAAAGUUGAGAUUGCCAUCUUGGAAGAAAAUGCCUAUAAAGAUGGAAAUGGACUUGAUCCACAUCAAGUGUUCUUUCUACUUCAGGGGUCAAUCUGUAUGUACAGACUACUAUCCUAU